UGGGCACGCCCAUCCCGAAC
rnacentral:misc_RNA from 1 species